GAUGAACGCUAGCGGCAGGCCUAAUACAUGCAAGUCGGACGGGAUUGGGAGCUUGCUCCCAUGAGAGUGGCGCACGGGUGCGUAACACGUAUGUAACCUACCUUUAUCUGGGGGAUAGCCUCUCGAAAGAGAGAUUAACACCGCAUAAAAUACACAGCACGGCAUUGUGCAAUGAUCAAAUAUUUAUAGGAUAAAGAUGGCAUGCGGAACAUUAGCUAGUUGGC
rnacentral:rRNA from 1 species